UCAUGUCGGUUGAUUAAUGAUUUGUUUAAUCGUCGUCUACUAAAACAGUAAGUUAGUCGAAAUUAAAUAGUUGUUAUAAUUUAUAUUUGAUAAUGUCGAAUUAAAUGUUGUAACUAAUAAUUUUUAAGUGUAAACGCGAUAACUUCUCGACCGUAGCUUCGACCGUCACGUUUUUUAUCCUCGCGUAACCGUAGAAGCGCUCUCUGUUUUUAUUGCUCAUUUUGAUAAUAUUUUAUCUUGUAUGGUGUAAUGUUCUUAUGCAAGUAUAUGUUUGUUUGUGCCUAUUUGUAUUCGUUACGCGUCGUGAAUAUAUUGCGAUCUGUUCCUGAGCUUCGAGGAAUCGACGAUCAAAACUUGGUGAACCACUGGUCCUGAGAUCAAGCUCUUCGAGUUCUACGAGGCUGAAGACCCUGAGCAUCUGUUUGGUGAAGGCAAGUGUCAUCUGACCCAUUAUGUCCUAUUUACUUUAUAAUUCAUUGCCCCGCAUACUAUGAACAACCUAAGGAUUGACUAGCUUUCUAUUUACCUUGUUCUUGAUUACCUUUCGGCUUACAAUGGUUAGCUUCAUGCUAGCGCUUUACUUUAAUCAAUGAACAUGAUGAGAUACAAUGAUGGUACUAUGAUUUUAUUCUGGAUAUGAUGAUAUACUUGUGGCAUUUUAGGGGACUUGAGCGGUUUCUCGAGUGCCUCUCCGUAAGGACUUGUUCGUUGGAUGACCACCCGGGAAAACAGUGCAACCAUGAGGGUGGAAUGGGACGCCCUUAGCUGAAUAAUUAGAGGAACUGGGGUGUAGUUUGCUUCGCCGUCGUGCCGUUAAUGGGGCUCGGUAUAUGCGGCUCGCUCUGCCAAGGUUGGUUCGCCCAUUGGGGAGGAGUGCGGUGCAUUUAGGAAACCUAACGGGCGGCUACAGUCUCAGGGAAUCUUUGUAAAGGCUUCGUAGUGAAUCCCUGGUCAUUCACCUCGGGAGUGAAUAAGGGUCUUGCAAGCCCAGGCUAGAGAGGGAAUCACGGCUUGUGGGUAAAGUGCGCAACCUCUGCAGAGUGUUAUGAAACUGAUAUAUCAACCGUGCUCGCGGUUAUGAGCGGCCAAGGGAGCUCCAUUGAUUAGAGGUACUUUGAUCAGAGAUGGUUGGUUUACAGGUGGUGAUGAGGCCUAGGAAUGCCUCAUGAUCGCGCCGACCAAGGACCCCUCCACGUUCACGGAGAGCCUCGAGGAGACCCUCACCAAAUUAAAUACGAGACAACCAGGCGUCCCUAGGCCCACGAGUACUCGUGGCUUUACCUCGGGUAAGAACAUUGGUUUUACCCUUGUCUUACGACUCCUUCCCAAGGAAGCUACCGCUGGUUGACCCCACUCCCGGCCUAUGAAAGGGAGGGGUUGGCCCCCAGGCAAAGGGACGGUUGGGUCAAGCUGAGUUCACUUGAACACGCACACACAAGGACGAGCCCUAGAUGAACCCAAGAACAGGAGGAGGAGCAUCGACGAGGACUAGGAAGCCAGAGCCCCACCGCCAAGCCAAGACUUAGCUAGGACUCCACUUCCACCCCGAUAAAGAGACUUGGGAGCCUCUCCUCCCUCUCUCACCCACUUGUAACCCCUACUACGAGUUUUGAUUAUCAAUGGUGCUAGUAUCACAAGCCGCCGAUGACUGUAAGUAGGGACGUUCUGCCCAAACCAGUAUAAAUCUUGUGCUCACGAUGUACACCCUUUGGAGCUCGAAACGCGCACAAUAAAUUUACUUGUCGGAGCGAGGUUCGAAACACCGAUAAGAGGUAUCCUCGUUCUUCAUAUUUGGGUAGCAAGAAUUCUGGAAUAGAUGGUGUAUAUAUUUUCAUAUCCAAUUGAAGAGGUUGUUGGAUGAUAUUUUUUCGCUAAAAUCUCUAUUCUUUAAGUUAGUAAAGAUAUAAAGAGUCUCUUGGAUUUGGGUCCAAACAUUAAGGGUGAACCAUCUGCUGUACUCUUUGCGGGAAUGCGUACAAUCCGUGACCUCGCUGUAGGAGCGACUCCUCUCUGCGCCACACCAGAUGGUCCAUGAUGCAGGUCCGGACGGUCCACGAUGUUGCAGAGUUGUCUUCUUCAUUAGAAAACCCUAGAACUCACCUCCCGGGAGGGACCCUGUCGGGGAGGAGAGUUUUAGGGGUGCCCCUAGGUCGGUAGACCACCCGGGAUGUCCCUAGACAACGUAGAGAUGAAAAGGGAUGAAGAUUUAGGGUUGGGGAAAGCUAAACUAGAUCUAAAUUACUCCUACUCCUAGUGCAUUGAAGAACAAAGCAAAAAAAGUUGAUUGUAUUGAUAGAUUCGAUUGUGUUUUGUUCCAAUCGGUGGUGUACCCCUUCACAUAUAUAGGGGGAGGUAUGAACUCGUUCCUAGGCGUAUCCCAAUAGAUUUUCAUGCGCUUAGUCGGAUAAGAACGCACGAGAUAAGUACUCUCGCCUGAGUUAAUCUGAUCGCGGACCGUCCGGACUAUACCCGCGGAAUAUCCGAGGCGAGGACCGUCCGAACCUCAUGGUCGGACCGUCCAUUUGUCCCAGGUGUCACAAAUGGUGCUCAACACAUCCCCUUGUCUUUUGGGGAAGUUAAGCGAACCAAAAGCACCUCGUAUAGACUGUUAUCAACUCGAUGUAAGAACACUGGUUUUCUAAGCAUCUUGCCAUACAUUAGGAUGAUAUUGCUUCAAGAAGCGACCAUUCAAUCGUUGUGAUUUGGUACUGGGUCAGACGCAUCUUCUUACGCCAGCAAUCUCCUGCUAACGUCCUCGACCGAAAUGGUGGAGAUAUUGAGCAAGGUUUACAUUGAAAUGAUGACCUGCUUAUACCUGCUACGAGAGAUGUAGAGGUACUUAUUGGCGACCUUCGCAGGAUCUUUAGGAUCAGCCAAGAUGGAGAGCUGGCUGACGAUGCCGGUGAAGCGCGGGGUGAAAUUCUUGACGCCCUCGCCAUCCUUGAACAUCAGACCUUCAUAUUGUCAUCGUACUCGUUGCACACUGGUCUUCCUUAUCCGAUCAUCGCCCGCACGCGCGGUGCGUAUUUUGUACCAUGUUGUUCUUGUUGACUGCUUGGUGGCGAUCGUCGUAGACGCCACCAUCUCUGACAGCGCGACGCUGCAAAUCGCGUCCAACGCCAUGCGGUCGACAUGGAGCUCGACGUCGUUGUGGUUGAUGGUGUUCCAGAGACACUUGGCCUCUAGCCUGAUCUUCAUGAGCAGCGACCAGUCGUUGUAAUUGGUUUUCGUCGGCAUCGGUUAGCUCGCCGGUGCGACCGCCGCGACAACGCACUUGGCAACGACUACGCGGCAAGAACAGAGAGCACACUCUUUGCGCUUGUGAACCGCUGCAACAUUUUUUGUGCUUCUUCUUCCUUUAUGCGAACGCGGGCAUGGAGAAACAAAGCGUCGACGAGUGAAACACGCGACGAGCUCGAAUGCGUGUCUAUCCCCACGUCACAAGUCAUGGACGCUCUCAAAUGCGAACACAACUAACUGGAGCUAUUCUCCUCCACAUGUCAGGGCUCGAUGCAUGAACAGAAAGGAAACAAGCUAGCUAACUGACACAACAGCACUGCAGACGAUUUUCGGUGGCCACUCUUAUUUUCGGUGGCUGACGUAGGCCGAAAAAAAAAUAACUCCUUAUUUUCGGCAGCUGACGCAAGCCGCCGAAAAUAACGCUAUUUUCGGCGGCCGUUGACACGGCCGCCGAAAAUAAAUGGAUUUAAACCGUUAGCGUCGAUUUCUUCUCUGCUUCUUCUCUUUCUCCUAGCCGACCCCACUAGCUUUCCUAGUCGCCGCCCACGCCGCCGACGCGCCGUCCCCGCCCCGUCCGCGCUAUCGCGCCGCCCCAGUCACGUCCUCGCCGUGCCGACGUGGCCGCGGCCCCGUUCCGCCGCACAUCACCCGCCGCCCGGCUUCUCCCCGGCCGCGCCACCCCCGCCCCGGCCGCGUCCAUCGAGCUCUCCUCCCGCCAUCGCUCUGCGCCCCGAGCCUUUCUCCAUAAACAGGUUAAUUUUUUUAGUUUUUUAUUUCAUAUUUUUGGCGGUCGUUAUUUAAUUGCAGCCGAAAUUAGUAUAUAUUUGUAAUUGUUGUUUGUUUGAUUAGUGUAUGUGAUUAGUAUUAUUGUUUAGUUCGAUUAUAUUAAUGUAUUAAUGGUAUAUGUGGUUCAGCAAUUAGGGGUAUAUUGUAUUUGUGGAAUUACUUUUAUAUUAAUAUGUGAUACAAUUAUAUUAUUAGUUUUAUAAGUACAUUAUAUUGGUAUGGCGUACAGUUUCCAUAUUAGUGGUAUGUGGUACUUAGUAUAAUUUAAUUAAUAGCAUAUCAUUCUUUGUUUUAUAUAUAAGUAAUAUAGUGUUUAGUGGCAGCGAAGUUAUGUUGUUGAAUUUUUUUGGGUCCUGCUAGUUUGUGGGUUUAAAACCUAUCCUUGCCUAUAGAUAUAGGAUCGAUACCCAUGACGAAGUUGAAUAAUGUUUUCACGAUAUGGUCUGGUUUAACAAUCUCAGGCAUGGCUGAAGAUCGUGCAUGGAUAUACAAUGACUGAAGUAAUAAUGGACGUCAUUCUGAUAAUUGGGUAGCCAAGACCAAAGAUUUUAUGGACCAUGUAUUCUCCUUCUCAUUAACCGGCACUGUCAGAUGCCCUUGUAGGCGGCACAAAAACAGUAUAUUCCUUAAUAAGUAAAGAGUUAUCUUAGAUCUUUGUCAGUUUGGAUUUAUGCCCGGAUAUGAGGUGUGGGAACAUCAUAGUGAGGUAGUACCCAACCCGAAUGUAGAAGAGGAGCAGAACAAUGAUUGAGCUGGUGAUGAUGCGAUGCAUGAGAUGCUAGAUUCGCUACGUCCAGAGUUAAACCUAAGCUCCGAGGAUCCUACCACAGCAGAGGUUUUCAGAUUUUUUAAACUACUAAAAGACUCUGAAGAGCCGUUGCAUCAACACACAGAUGUGAGUAUACUCGCUUUUGUGACCCGGCUCAUGGCCAUUAAGUCCAAGUAUUUUUUUUCUCGAACAACUGUUACAAUGAGAUUUUAAAGUUAUUAGGAUAUGUGCUGCCAAAGACCAAUAAGUGGCCUAAAGACAUCUACCGUUCAAAGACAAUUAUCAAAGGUCUCGGUAUGGAUUAUGAAAAAAUUGAUGUGUGCAAAAAUAACUGUAUGCUUUUCAUGAAGGAGCAUGCGGGAGAGAAAAAAUGUCUGAAAUAUGGACAAUCUAGAUUUGUGUAAGUUGUUAAUGAUGAGGGUGACAAGAUGAUGACAGAUGUUGCACAUAAGCAGCUUCGCUACUUGCCACUAACUCCUCGAGUGAAACGGUUGUUUCUAUCUAAAAACCGCUAUGCACAUGUGAUGGCACAAAGAAGGUGUCUGUGAGAACGAUGAGCUAAUUGUGCACCCUUUAGAUGGGGAUACUUGGAAGGCUCUUGACACGUUUGAUCCAGACUUUGCAGCUGAACCGAGAAAUGUUCAAAUCGGCCUUGCGACCGAUUGCUUCACACCUUUAGGUCAAAUGACAUCAUCAUACUCAUGUUGGCCCGUCUUCGUUAUUCCAUACAACCUUUCACCUUCUCUUUGUAUGAAAUAUGAAUUUAUAUUUCUUUGCUUAAUCAUUCUUGGCCUAGACCAUCCUGGAAAGAAACUCAAUGUCAUGUUAAAACCCUUAAUUGAAGAGUUGAAGGAGCAUUGGAAAGAAGUCGAAGCAUACGAUGUUUUUAAAAACAGAUAUACAAACUUCGGGUUGCGUAUUUGUGGCUGGUGCAUGACUUCACGGUGUAUGCUAUUUUUGUCGGUUGGAGUACACAUGGUAGAUUGACAUGUCCAUAUUGCGGUUCAGAUACAGAUUGCUUCUUAAAGUCAUCUAGAGGGGGGUGGAUAGGCGAAAUCUGAAAUUAUAAACUUAAGCACACACUACAAGCCGGGGUUAGCGUUAGAAUGAAUAUUAAGUUCGGGGGAGAAGGGAAAACAAAUCAACCAAGAAAUAAAGCAGAUGAACAUGGUGAUUUGUUUUACCGAGGUUCGGUUCUAAAGAACCUAGUCCUCGUUGAGGUGGUCACAAAGACCGGGUCUCUUUCAACCCUUUCCCUCUCUCAAACGGUCACUUAGACCGAGUGAGCUUUCUUCCUUGAUUUCUUGGGUCACUUAGACCCCGCAAGGAUCACCACACGAUUGGUGUCUCUUGCUUUGCUUACAAGGCUUUGAGAAUAAGAAUGAGAGAAAGAAGAAAGUCAACCAAGCAACAAGAGCAACAAAGAAACACAAGAACGAUCCUCUCACAAGUCCUAAAGCACUAGAAUUGAAUUGGGGACUUUGAUUGGAUCGGUGGCUUUGAUUUGUGUCUUGGAGUGUUGCACUUUGCUCUUGUAUUGAAUGAAGUGUGAUGAAUGCUUGGAUUGUUGGAGUGGAGGUGGUUGAGGGGUAUUUAUAGCCCUCAACCACCAAACAACCGUUGGGGUUGGGUUGCUGUCGAUGGGCGCACCGGACAGUCCGGUGCGCCAGCCACGUCACCCAACCGUUAGGGUUCGGGCACAGUCGACCGUUGGAGCUUUGUCUUCUUGUGGCACCGGCAGUCCGGUGCCACACCGGACAGACACUGUUCACUGUCUGGUGCGCCUCUGGCGACUGCUCUGACUUCUGAGCGCACUGUUCUUCACUGUUCACGGAGUCAUCGGCUUUUGCAGUCGACCGUUGCGUGAAGGAGCCGUUGCUCCGCUGUUGCACCGGACAGUCCGGUGAAUUAUAGCGGAGCACGCCCAGAGAAACCCGAGGGUGGCGAGUUUGGAGUUGUACGGUCCUGGUGCACCGGACAUUGUCCGGUGGCACACCGGACAGCCCGGUGCGCCAGACCAGGGCACACUCGGUUUCUUACUCCUUUCGAAUUUGAACCCAUUUCUUCAAACUUUUAUUGGUUUGUGUUGAACCUUUAUGCACCUGUAUAUCAUAUACUCUAGAGCAAACUAGUUAGUCCAAUAUUUUUGUUGGGCAUUCAACCACCAAAAUUAUUUAUAGGAAAAGGUUAAACCCUAUUUCCCUUUCAUUCUCCCCUUUUUGGUGAUUGAUACCAACACAAACCAAAGCAAAUAUAUAAGUGCAGAAUUGAACUAGUUUGCAUAAUGUAAGUGCAUAGGUUACAUGGAAUUAAACCAAUUAUUUAACAUUUUUGGACCACAUUUUCACCACUUGUUUUGUUUUUGCAAAUUCUUUUGGAAAACAUUUUCAAAGUCUUUUGCAGAUAGUCAAAGGUACAUGAAUAAGAUUGCAUGAAGCAUUUUUCUAGAUUUGAAAUUUCUCCCCCUGUUUCAAAUGCUUUUCCUUUGACUAAACAAAACUCCCCCUAAAUGAAAUUCUCCACUUAGCUUUCAAGGGGGUUUUAAUAGAUACCAGUUAGAAACAUAUUUAGAUUGCUAGUUUUGAAAAACUAUACCAAUUUGAAAGUAUCAUACUAAUUUAAGAAAUUUCUUAUCAAAAGAUAUCAAUUGAAAAACAACCUUUUGUGAAACUAAAAUUUUUGAAGUUGGUGGUGCGGUCCUUUUGCUUUGGGCUUAAUAUUUCUCCCCCUUUGGCAUUAAUCGCCAAAAACGGAGACUUUGAGAGCCCUUUUACUUUCUCCCCUAUUGGUAAAUGAUAUAUGAGUGAAAGAUUAUACCAAUUUGAGAGUGAUGUAGAGUGACGGCGAAGGGUAAAAGAUACCGGUAGAGUAGAGUGGAAGCCUUGUCUUCGCCGAAGAACUCCAUUUACCUUUCAGUCUACGACUUACUGUAAGAAUACACUUGAAAACACAUUAGUCGUAGUCAUGAAAGAGAUAUGAUCAAAGGUAUGUAAAUGAGCUAUGUGUGCAAUGUUUCAGUCAAAGUUCCGCGAAUCAAGUAUAUUUAGCUCAUUCCUAAGUUUGCUAAAGGUUUUCUCAUCUAAUGGCUUGGUAAAGAUAUCGGCUAAUUGUUCUUUGGUGCUAACAUAAGCUAUCUCGAUAUCCCCCCUUUGUGGUGAUCCCUCAGAAAGUGAUACCGAAUGUCUAUGUGCUUAGUGCGGCUGUGUUCAACGGGAUUAUCCGCCAUGCGGAUUGCACUCUCAUUAUCACAUAGGAGAGGGACUUUGCUCAAUUUGUAGCCAUAGUCCCUGAGGGUUUGCCUCAUCCAAAGUAAUUGCACACAACAAUGACCUGCGGCAAUAUACUCGGCUUCGGCGGUAGAAAGAGCUACUGAGUUUUGUUUCUUCGAAGCCCACGACACCAGGGAUCUUCCCAGAAACUGACAAGUCUCUGAUGUGCUCUUCCUAUCAAUUUUACACCCUGCCCAAUCAGCAUCAGAAUAUCCUAUUAAAUCAAAAGUGGAUCCCUUGGGGUACCAAAGACCAAACUUAGGAGUAUAAACUAAAUAUCUCAUGAUUCUUUUCACGGCCCUAAGGUGAAUUUCCUUAGGAUCGGCUUGGAACAUUGCACACAUGCAUACAGAAAGCAUAAUAUUCGAUCGAGAUGCACAUAAAUAGAGUAAAGAUCCUAUCAUCGACUGGUAUACCUUUUGAUCUACGGAUUUACCUCCCGUGUCGAGGUUGAGAUGCCCAUUUGUUCCCAUGGGUGUUUUGAUGGGCUUGGCAUCCUUCAUUCCAAACUUGUUGAGUAUGUCUUGAAUGUACUUUGUUUGGCUGAUGAAGGUGCCGUCUUGGAGUUGCUUGACUUGAAAUCCUAGAAAAUACUUCAACUCCCCCAUCAUCGCCAUCUCGAAUUUCUGUAUCAUGAUCCUACUAAACUCUUCACAAGUGGAUUUGUUAGUAGACCCAAAUAUGAUAUCAUCAACAUAAAUUUGGCAUACAAACAAAUAUUUUGCAAUGGUUUUAGUAAAGAGUGUAGGAUCGGCUUUUCCGACUUUGAAGCCAUUAGUGAUAAGAAAAUCUCGUAGGCAUUCAUACCAUGCUCUUGGGGCUUGCUUGAGCCCAUAAAGCGUGUUUGAGAGUUUAUAGACAUUAUUAGGGUACUCACUAUCUUAAAAGUUGGGAGGUUGCUCAACAUAGACCUCUUCCUUGAUUGGUCUAUUAAGGAAGGCACUUUUCACGUCCAUUUGGUAAAGCUUAAAGCCAUGGUGAGUAGCAUAGGCAAGUAAUAUACAAAUUGACUCAAGCCUAGCUACGGGUGCAUAAGUUUCAUCAAAGUCCAAACCUUUGACUUGUGAAUAACCCUUGGCCACAAGUCGGGCUUUGUUCCUUGUCACCACACCAUGCUCAUCUUGCUUGUUGCGGAAUACCCAUUUGGUUCCUAAAAUAUUUUGGUUAGGACGUGGAACUAAAUGCCAUACCUCAUUCCUCGUGAAGUUGUUGAGUUUCUCUUGCAUUGCCAGCACCCAAUCUGUAUCUCUUAGUGCAUCCUCCACCCUGUAUGGAUCAAUAGAGGACACAAAAGAGUAGUGUUCACAAAAAUGUGCGACUCGAGACCGAGUAGUUACCCCCUUAUGAAUAUCGCCAAGAAUGGAGUUGACGGGGUGAUCUCUUUGAAUCGCUUGGUGGACUCUUGGGUGUGGCGGUCUUUGACCCUGUUUUUCUUGCUCAUCUUAUUUGUCUUCAUCUCCCCCUUGAUCAUUGUCCUCCUCUUUGGGUGGCUCAUCCUCUUGAUCUUCAUUAUCUUGAGCCUGAUCCUCAUCUUGAGUUGGUGGAGAUACUUGCAUGGAAGAUGACGGUUGAUCUUGUGUUUGUGUGGGCUCUUCAGAUUCCUUAGGACACACAUCCCCAAUGGACAUGUUCCUUAGCGCGAUGCAUGGAGCCUCUUCAUCAUCUAAUUCAUCAAGAUCAACUUGCUCCACUUGGGAGCCAUUAGUCUCAUCAAACAGAAUGUCACAAAAUACCUCAACUAAUCCAGUGGAUUUGUUGAAGACUCUAUAUGCCCUUGUGUUUAAGUCAUAUCCUAGUAAAAAGCCUUCUACACCCUUAGGAGCAAAUUUAGAUUUUCUACCUCUUUUAAUAAGAAUAAAGCAUUUGCUACCAAAGACUCUAAAAUAUGAAACAUUGGGCUUUUUACCGGUGAGGAGUUCGUAUGAUGUCUUCUUGAGGAUUUGGUGAAGGUAGAGCCGGUUGAUGGAGUAGCAAGUAGUGUUGAUUGCUUCCGCCCAAAACCGGUCUGGUGUCUUGUACUCAUCAAGCAUGGUCCUUGCCAUGUCUAGUAAAGUUCUAUUCUUCCUCUCCACUACACCAUUUUGUUGAGGUCUGUAGGGAGAAGAGAACUCAUGCUUGAUGCCCUCAUCCUCAAGAAAGCCUUCUAUUUGUGAGUUCUUGAACUCUGUCCCGUUAUCGCUUCUUAUUUUCUUGAUCCUUAAUCCGAACUCAUUUUGAGCCCGUCUCAAGAAUCCCUUUAAAGUCUCUUGGGUUUGAGAUUUUUCCUGCAAAAAGAAUACCCAAGUGAAGCGAGAAUAAUCAUCCACAAUAACUAGACAGUACUUACUCCCGCCGAUACUUAUGUAAGCUAUCGGGCUGAAUAGAUCCAUGUGGAGCAAUUCCAGUGGCAUGUUUGUUGUUAUUAUGUUCUUGUGUGGAUGGUGGGUACCAACUUGCUUUCCUGCUUGACAAGCGCUACAAAUCUUGUCUUUCUCAAAAUGAACAAUUGUUAGUCCCAAAAUGUGCUCUCCAUUUAGAAGCUUGUGAAGAUUCUUCAUCCCAACAUGGGCUAGUUGGCGAUGCCAGAGCCAACCCAUAUUAGUCUUAGCAAUUAAGCAAGUAUCGAGUUCAGCUUUGUUAAAAUCAACUAAGUAUAGCUGACCCUCUAAUACCCCCUUAAAUGCUACUGAAUCAUCACUUCUUCUAAAGACAGUAACACCUACAUCUAUAAAAAGACAGUUGUAGCCCAUUUUGCAUAAUUGAGAAACUGAAAGCAAGUUGUAAUCUAAAGAAUCUACAAGAAAAACAUUGGAAAUAGAAUGGUCAGGUGAUAUAGCAAUUUUACCAAGUCCUUUGAUCAAACCUUGAUUUCCAUCCCCGAAUGUGAUAGCUCGUUGGGGAUCUUUGUUUUUCUUGUAGGAGGAGAACAUUCUUUUCUCCCCUGUCAUAUGGUUUGUGCAUCCACUAUCAAUUAUCCAACUUGAGCCCCCGGAUGCAUAAACCUGCAAAACAAUUUAGGCCUUGUUCUCGGGUACCCAAACAGUCUUGGGUCCUUUCACGUUAGAAACAAGCACCUUGGGUACCCAAACACAAGUCUUGGAGCCCUUGUGUUUGCCCCCAACAUAUUUGGCAACUACUUUGCCUGAUUUGUUAGUUAAAACAUAAGAUGCAUCAAAAGUCUUAAAUGAAAUGUUAGGCUCAUUUGAUGCAGUAGGAGCUUUCUUUUUAGGCAAUUUAACAUGGGUUGAUUGCCUAGAGCUAGAAGCCUCAUUCUUAUACAUAAAAGCAUGAUGGGAAAUAGAAUGUGAUUUCUUAGCAUGAAUUCUCCUAAUCUUAUGCUCAGGAUAAUUAACAGGAUAUAAAAUGUAACCUUCAUUAUCUUGAACCAUGGGAGCUUUGCCCUUAACAAAAUUAGACAAUCUUUUAAGGGCAUUAAGUUUGACAUUGCUUCCCUGUUGAAACCAAUGACAUCCUUGAUGCCAGGGCGUCUCCCAUUAUAGAGCAUGCUUCUAGCAAAUUUAAAUUUUUCAUUUUCAAUUUCAUGCUCAUUAAUUUUAGCAGUUAGUUGAGCUAUACGAUCAUUUCGUUGUUUAAUUAAAGCAAGGAGAUCAUGGAUAGCUUCAACAUUAACAUCUCUACAUCUAGUACAAAUAGUAAUAUGAUCAACAGUGGAUGUAGAGGGUUUGCAAGCAUUUAAUUCAUCUAUCUUAGCAUGUAAUAUUGCAUUCUCAUCUCUAAGACAGGAAAUAGAAUCAUUGCAAAUAUUUAAAGCUUUAGCCUUGGAAAUUAAACUAGCAUUUUCAGUUUUAAGGCUAGAGAUUGAUUCAUUCAAUUUAUCAAUCUUAGUAAUUAAACUAGCAUUUCUAUUUCUAAGAUUGAUAAUUGAAUCAUGGCAAAUGCUAAGCUUCUUAGUCAAGUUUUCAUUUUUCUCUACUUCCUGAGCAUAAGUGAGAGCACCUAGAGGGGGGUGAAUAGGUGAUCCUAUAAAACUUAAAACUUAACACCACAAACUUGAUUAAGAGUUAGAACAAUGAAAUCAAGUGAGUAGAGAGGAGAGCUCUUGUGAAGCACAAUAGACACAAUAAGGACAAGCACAAGAGACAUGAGGAUUUAUCCCGUGGUUCGGCCAAGUACAAAACUUGCCUACUCCACGUUGUGGCGUCCCAACGGACGAGAGUUGCACUCAACUCCUCUCAAGUGAUCCACAGAUCAACUUGAAUACCACAGUGUUCUUCUUUACUUUACUCUUUCCCGUUUGCGAGGAAUCUCCACAACUUGGAGUCUCUCGCCCUUACAAUAAGAAUCACAAUGAAGCACUAGAGUAAGGAAGGGUAGCAACACACUCAAAUCCACAGCAAAUACGCACACACAAGACCAAGACUUGAGCUCAAAACAAUAUCUCAAGGUUCUCACUAGAACGGAGCUCAAAUCACUAAGAAUGUCGAACAAGUCAAGAAUGAAGUGUGAGUGAUCAACAAUGCUCAAAGGAUGCUCUGUGUUCUCCUCCAUGCGCCUAGGGGUCCCUUUUAUAGCCCCAAGACAGCUAGGAGCCGUUGAGAGCAUUUCAAGAAGGCAAUUUUUGCCUUCUGUCAUCUGGCGCACCGGACAGUCUGGUGCACCACCGGACACUGUCCGGUGCGGAUUUCUUUCCUUCUUUGGCGAAGCCGACCGUUGGCGGUUCAGAGCCGUUGGCGCACCGGACACUGUCCGAUGCACACCGGACAGUCCGGUGCCCCUUCUGACCAUUGACUCUUGCCACGCGUCGCGCGCGGAUUAUGCGGCCGACCGUUGGCCCGGCCGACUGUUGGCUCACCGGACAGUCCGGUGCAUCACCGGACAGUCCGGUGAUUUAUAGCCGUAUGCCGUUAAUUUCUUCCCGAGAGCAGCCAGUUGACAGACGCCGGCCUGGCGCACCGGACACUGUCCGGUGCACCACCAGACACUGUCCGGUGCACCACCGGACAGUCCGGUGCACCCAGACCGAGCAGCCUUUUGGCUACACACAGCCAACUUCUCCAAAGUUGUUUCUCCUGUUUCUAGCACUUAGACACAAUACAUUAGUCUUCAAAACAAUGUACUAAGUCUAGAACCAUACCGUUAAUCUUGAUUUGCACUUCUUGAGUCCUUGGCACAAUUUAACACUUAGGCACUUGUGUUGGACACUUAAUCACCAAAAUACUUAGAAAUGGCCUAAGGGAACAUUUCCCUUUCAAUCUCCCCCUUUUUGGUGAUUUAUGCCAACACAACAAAAAGCAACUAAAAGAAGUGCAACAUCAAUGCAAAUGAAAACACAAAUUUGUUUUGUCUCAAAUUUGGCAUAUUUGGAUCAUUCUUUGCUACCACUUGGUUUGUUUUUGCAAAUCAACCUCAAUUUCCUAUCUCUAAGUCAAACACACUUGUUGAGACAUGAAGAGAGUUGUUCCAAGAGAAAUUGAUCAAGGAUUUCAAAAACUCCCCCUUUUUCCCAUAAUCAAAUAUUCUCCCCACAAGAGAUCAACUUUUGACAAACAAAAACUCUAACUCUACUUUUUUAAGAUUCUCAAGUGGUAGCUGAUCCAUUUCUUGCUUUGGCCUUAUUUUCUCCCCCUUUGGCAUCAAGCACCAAAACGGAAUCAAUCUUGGCCCUUUAACCUCGUUGCCUCACCAAAAUUUUCAACUUAGAGUAAAAAGGCAAUAGGAGUACAAAGAUGAACUUGGAAUCAGUUACUCUUUCAUCGGAGUGCAGUGGAAGUCUUGCAUGGUCCAAGUCCACCUUUUCCCUUUCAAACCUCCUUUGAGACUAAAUUAAGCAAACUCAAGCACACAGUUAGUCUCAAAGGGUCAAGUUGUAGCACAUCUCCCCCUAAAUAUGAGCAUCACUUGCAAAUGGACUUGUGAGGUCCGGGGAGUGCUUGUACAACUUGAGCACCAUAAACAAACAACAAAAUGCAUUAAGGAACAUGAUCAAGGCAUAAAACACAUGUAUGCUAUAAAUCAAUCCAGGUUCCGUGAAUCUAAGACAUUCAGCUCACUUCGCAGCCUGCAAAAGGUUGACUCAUCUAGAGGCUUGGUAAAGAUAUCGGCUAGCUGGUUCUCGGUGCUAACAUAAAACACUUCGAUAUCUCCCUUUUGCUGGUGGUCUCUCAAAAAGUGAUGUCGGAUGUCUAUGUGCUUUGUGCGGCUGUGUUCAACAGGAUUAUCCGCCAUGCGGAUAGCACUCUCAUUAUCACAUAGGAGUGGAACUUUGCUCAGAUUGUAGCCAAAGUCCCGGAGGGUUUGCCUCAUCCAAAGUAGUUGCGCGCAGCACUGUCCUGCGGCAACAUACUCGGCUUCAGCGGUGGAUAGGGCAACGGAAGUUUGUUUCUUAGAGCUCCACGACACCAGGGACCUUCCUAAGAAUUGGCACGUCCCCGAUGUACUCUUCCUAUCGACCUUACAUCCAGCAUAAUCGGAGUCUGAAUAUCCAAUCAAGUCAAAGGUAGACCCUUUUGGAUACCAGAUCCCGAAGCAAGGCAUAGCGACUAAAUAUCUAAGAAUUCGCUUUACAGCCACUAAGUGACACUCCCUUGGAUCAGAUUGAAAUCUAGCACACAUGCAUACGCUAAGCAUAAUAUCCGGUCUACUAGCACAUAAAUAAAGUAAAGACCCUAUCAUGGACCGGUAUGCCUUUUGAUCAACGAACUUACCUCCUUUGUUGAGGUCGGUGUGUCCGUCGGUUCCCAUUGGAGUCUUUGCGGGCUUGGCGUCCUUCAUCCCAAACCGCUUGAUCAAGUCUUGUGUGUACUUCGUUUGGGUGAUGAAGGUGCCAUCCUUGAGUUGCUUCACUUGGAACCCAAGGAAGUAGUUCAACUCGCCCAUCAUCGACAUCUCGAACUUUUGAGUCAUCACCAUGCUAAACUCUUCACAAGACUUUUGGUUAGUAGAACCAAAUAUUAUGUCGUCGACAUAAAUUUGGCACACAAAUAAAUCGCUAUCACAUGUCUUAGUGAAAAGAGUUGGAUCGGCUUUCCCAACCUUUAAAGCAUUAGCAAUUAAAAAGUCUCUAAGGCAUUCAUACCAUGCUCUUGGGGCUUGCUGAAGUCCAUAGAGCGCCUUAGAGAGCUUACACACAUGGUCGGGGUACCGUUCAUCCUCGAAGCCAGGGGGUUGCUCCACGUACACCUCCUCCUUGAUUGGCCCGUUGAGGAAAGCGCUCUUCACAUCCAUUUGGAACAACUUAAAAGAAUGGUGAGUAGCAUAGGCUAACAAUAUGCGAAUUGACUCUAGCCUAGCCACAGGAGCAAAAGUCUCCUCAAAGUCCAAACCUGCGACUUGGGCAUAACCUUUUGCCACAAGUCGUGCCUUGUUCCUUGUCACCACCCCGUGCUCAUCUUGUUUGUUGCGGAACACCCACUUGGUUCCCACAACAUUUUGCUUGGGACGAGGCACCAGUGUCCAAACUUCAUUUCUCUUGAAGUUGUUGAGCUCCUCUUGCAUGGCCAACACCCAGUCCGGAUCUAGCAAGGCCUCUUCUACCCUGAAAGGCUCAAUAGAAGAGACAAAGGAGUAGUGCUCACAAAAAUUAACUAAUCUAGAACGAGUAGUUACUCCCUUGCUUAUGUCACCCAAUAUUUGGUCGACGGGAUGAUUCCUUUGAAUCGUCGCUCGAACUUGGGUUGAAGGUGCCGGUUGUGCUUCUUCCUCCAUUAAAUGAUCAUCUUGUGCUCCCCCUUGAUCACACGCCUCCUCUUGAUGGACCUGUUCAUCUUCUUGAGUUGGGGGUUGCACCGUUGUCGAGGAAGAAGGUUGAUCUUGCUCCUUUUGUUCCAGUGGUCAUACAUCACCAAUCGCCAUGGUAUGUAUUGCGGCCGUCGGAACAUCUUCUUCAUCUACAUCAUCAAGAUCAACAACUUGCUCUCUUGGAGAGCCAUUAGUCUCAUCAAAUACAACGUCGCUAGAGACUUCAACCAAACCCGAUGAUUUGUUGAAGACCCUAUACGCCUUUGUAUUUGAGUCAUAACCUAAAAAAACCCUUCUACAGCUUUGGGAGCAAACUUAGAACUUCUACCUUUCUUUACUAGAAUAUAACACUUGCUCCCAAAUACACGAAAGUAAGAUACAUUGGGUUUGUUACCGGUUAGAAUCUCAUAUGAAGUCUUCUUGAGGAGGCGAUGAAGGUAGACCCGGUUGAUGACGUGGCAAGCCGUGUUCACGGCUUCCGACCAAAACCGCCCGGGGGUCUUGAACUCUCCAAGCAUCGUCCUUGCCAUGUCAAUGAGCGUCCUGUUCUUCCUCUCUACCACACCGUUUUGCUGUGGUGUGUAGGGAGCGGAGAACUCGUGCUUGAUCCCUUCCUCCUCAAGGUACUCCUCCACUUGAAGGUUCUUGAACUCGGACCCGUUGUCGCUCCUUAUCUUCUUCACCUUGAGCUCAAACUCAUUUUGAGCUCUCCUUAGGAAGCGCUUGAGGGUCCCUUGGGUUUCAGAUUUAUCCUGCAAAAAGAAUACCCAAGUGAAGCGAGAAAAAUCAUCAACUAUAACAAGACCAUACUUACUUCCUCCUAUGCUUAGAUAGGCGACGGGUCCGAAGAGGUCCAUAUGAAGUAACUCCAGGGGUCUUGAUGUUGUCAUCACAUUUUUGGCAUGAUGAGAGCUUCCCACCUGUUUACCUGCUUGACAAGCUGCAUAAGGUCUAUCUUUUUCGAAGGUUACAUUAUUUAGACCUAUCACGUGUUCUCCCUUUAGAAGCUUGUGAAGGUUCUUCAUCCCCACAUGUGCUAAACGGCGAUGCCACAGCCAGCCCAUGCUAGUCUUAGCAAUUAAGCAUGCAUCUAGACCGGCCUCCUCUUUUGCAAAAUCAACUAAAUAAAGUUUGUCGUCUAGUACACCCUUAAAAGCUAAUGAACCAUCACUUCUUCUAAAGACAGACACAUCUAAAUUUGUGAAUAAACAGUUAUAUCCCAUAUUACAAAGUUGACUCACAGACAACAAGUUAUAUCCAAGCGACUCAACUAAGAACACAUUAGAAAUAGAAUGCUCGGAUGAGAUAGCAAUUUUUCCUAACCCUUUCACCUUGCCUUGGUUCCCAUCACCGAAUAUGAUUGAAUCUUGGGGAUCCUUGUUCUUGACGUAGGAAGAGAACAUCCUCUUUUCCCCCGUCAUGUGGUUUGUGCAUCCGCUGUCGAUAAUCCAGCUUGAGCCCCCGGAUGCAUAAACCUGCAAGGCAAAUUUAAGCUUGGGUCUUAGGUACCCAACUCAUGUUGGGUCCUACAAGGUUAGUUACAAUAGUCUUAGGGACCCAAAUGCAAGUCUUGUCUCCCUUACAUUUGGCCCCUAAUUUCCUAGCAAUUACCUUUUUAUCCUUUCUACAAAUAGCAAAGGAAGCAUUGCAAGCAUAAUAAAUUGUAGAAGGUUCAUUCAUUACUUUCCUAGGAACAUGAACAAUAUUUCUUCUAGGCAUAUGAUGAACAACAUUUUUCCUAGCCACAUUUCUAUCAUGCAUAAUAGAGGAACUAGAAGCAAUCAUGGCAUGAGAAAAAGCAUCAUAACUUCUAUAAACAUUCCUAGAAUGUCUCCUAUCAUGAUACAUGAAAGCAUGGUUCUUUUGAGCACUACUAGCCAUAGGGGCCUUCCCUUUCUCCUUGGCGGAGAUGGAAGCCUUAUGGCUUGUUAAGUUCUUGACUUCCCUCUUGAAGCCAAGACCAUCCUUAAUUGAGGGGUGUCUACCAAUCGUGUAGGCAUCCCUUGCAAAUUUUAGUUUGUCAAAUUCACUCUUGCUAGUCUUAAGUUGGGCAUUAAGACAAGCCACUUCAUCAUUCAAAUUAGAAAUUGAAACUAGAUGUUCACUACAAGCAUCAAUAUUAAAAUCUUUACACCUAUUGCAAAUUGCAACCUGUUCUACACAAGAUGUUGAUUUAUUAGCUAUUUCUAACUUAGCAUUCAAAUCAUCAUUCAUGCUCUUUAAGCUAGAAAUAGAGUCAUGACAUGUAGACAAUUCACAAGAAAGCAUUUCAUUCCUUUUGAUUUCUAAAGCAAGGGAUUUUUGUGCCUCUACAAACUUAUCAUGUUCUUCAUACAAAAGAUCCUCUUGUUUUUCUAAUAACCUAUUUUUAUCAUUCAAGGCAUCAAUUAACUCAUUAAUCUUAUCAACCUUAGUUCUAUCUAGGCCCUUGAAUAAACAUGAAUAGUCUAUUUCAUCAUCGCUAGAUUCUUCAUCACUUGAGGAAGCAUAAGUACUAGUAUCACGAGUGCUUACCUUCUUUUCCCUUGCCAUGAGGCAGGUGUGAUGAUCGUUGGGGAAGAGGGCCAACUUGUUGAAGGCGGUGGCGGCGAGUCCUUCAUUGUCGGAGUCGGACGACGAACAAUCUGAGUCCCACUCCUUUCUAAGGUGUGCCUCGCCCUUAGCUUUCUUGUAAGCCUUCUUCUUUUCCUUCUUGUUCCCUUGUUCCUGGUCACUAUCAUUAUUGGGACAGUUAGCGAUAAAAUGACCAAUCUUACCACAUUUGAAGCAUGAGUGCUUCCCCUUCAUCUUGGUCUUGUUUGAAUGCUCCUUGCGACCCCUUAGCGACGUCUUGAAACGCUUAAUGAUGAGGGCCAUCUCUUCCUCAUUGAGUCCCACCGUCUCAACUUGUGCCACCUUACUAGGUAGCACUUCCUUGCUCCUCGUUGCUUUGAGAGCAACGGUUUGAGGCUCGUGGAUUCGGCCGUUCAACGCAUUGUCAACGUAUCUUGCCUCCUUGAUCAUCAUCCGCCCGCUUACGAAUUUUCCAAGUAUCUCCUCGGGCGUCAUCUUGGUGUACCUUGGAUUCUCACGAAUAUUGUUCACAAGAUGUGGAUCAAGGACAGUAAAAGACCUUAGUAUUAGGCGGACGAUGCCGUGGUCCGUCCAUCGCGUGCUUCCAUAGCUCCUUAUUUUGUUGACGAGGGUCUUGAGCCGGUUGUACGUUUGGGUUGGCUCCUCGCCCCUGAUCAUUGCGAAUCUCCCAAGUUCACCCUCUACCAACUCCAACUUGGUGAGCAUGGUGACGUCGUUCCCCUCAUGAGAGAUUUUGAGGGUGUCCCAAAUCUGCUUGGCGUUAUCCAAGCCGCUCACCUUAUGGUAUUCAUGCCUGCACAAUGAUGCUAGAAGAACAGUAGUAGCUUGUACAUUUUUGUGAAUUUUCUCAUUGAUAAACAUGGGACUAUCACUACUAUCAAAUUGCAUUCCACUCUCUACUAUCUCCCAUAUGCUUGGAUGGAGAGAGAACAAGUGACUACGCAUUUUGUGACUCCAAAAUCCGUAGUCCUCUCCAUCAAAGUGAGGAGGUUUACCAAGUGGAAUGGAGAGUAAAUGAGCAUUUGUACUUUGCGGAAUACGAGAAUAAUCAAAAGAAAAGUUUGAAUUGACCGUUUUCUUUUUCUCGUAGUCGUUGUCGUCAUCCUUUUGGGAAGAGGAAGAUUCGUCGCUGUCGUAGUAGACUAUCUCGUUGAUGCGCCUUGUUUUCUUCUUCCUUCCGUCUUUUCUUUUGUGGCCCGAGCCUGAGUCAGUAGGCUUGUCAUACUUUGGAUCAUUGACGAAGGACUCCUUCUCCUUAUCAUUGACCACCAUCCCCUUGCCCUUAGGAUCCAUCUCUUUGGGCGAUUAGUCCCUUUCUUGAAGAGAACGGCUCCGAUACCAAUUGAGAGCACCUAGAGGGAGGGUGAAUAGGUGAUCCUGUAAAACUUAAAACUUAACACCACAAACUUGAUUAAGACUUAGAACAAUGAAAUCAAGUGAGUAGAGAGGAGAGCUCUUGUGAAGCACAAUAGACACAAUAAGGACAAGCACAAGAGACACGAGGAUUUAUCCCGUGGUUUGGCCAAGUACAAAACUUGCCUACUCCACGUUGUGGCGUCCCAAUGGACGAGAGUUGCACUCAACUCCUCUCAAGUGAUCCACAGAUCAACUUGAAUACCACAGUGUUCUUCUUUACUUUACUCUUUCCCGUUUGCGAGGAAUCUCUACAACUUGGAGUCUCUCGCCCUUACAAUAAGAAUCACAAUGAAGCAAUAGAGUAAGGAAGGGAAGCAACACACUCAAAACCACAGCAAAUACGCACACACAAGACCAAGACUUGAGCUCAAAACAAUAUCUCAAGGUUCUCACUAGAACGGAGCUCAAAUCACUAAGAAUGUCGAACAAGUCAAGAAUGAAGUGUGAGUGAUCAACAAUGCUCAAAGGAUGCUCUGUGUUCUCCUCCAUGCGCUUAGGGGUCCCUUUUAUAGCCCCAAGGCAGCUAGGAGCCGUUGAGAGCAUUUCAAGAAGGCAAUUCUUGCCUUCUGUCGCCUGGCGCACCGGACAGUCCGGUGCACCACCGGACACUGUCCGGUGCGGAUUUCUUUCCUUCUUUGGCGAAGCCGACCGUUGGCGGUUCAGAGUCAUUGGCGCACCGGACACUGUCCGGUGCACACCAGACAGUCCGGUGCCCCUUCUGACCGUUGACUCUUGCCACACGUCGCGCACGGAUUAUGCGGCCGAAAGUUGGCCCGACCGACUGUUGGCUCACCGGACAGUCCGGUGCAUCACCGGACAGUCCGGUGAUUUAUAGUCGUACGCCGUUAAUUGCUUCCCGAGAGCAGCCAAUUGGCAGACGCCGGCCUGCACCACCGGACACUAUCCGGUGCACCACCGGACAGUCCGGUGCACCCAGACCGAGCAGCCUUUUGGCUGCACACAGCCAACUUCUCCAAAGUUGUUUCUCCUGUUUCUAGCACUUAGACACAAUACAUUAGUCUUCAAAACAAUGUACUAAGUCUAGAACCAUACCUUUAAUCUUGAUUUGCACUUCUUGAGUCCUUGGCACAAUUUAACACUUAGGCACUUGUGUUGGACACUUAAUCACCAAAAUACUUAGAAAUGGCCUAAGGGCACAUUUCCCUUUCAAUAAGCAUUUUUAACUUUAACAUGCUUUUUAUUUUCCUUAAUAAGGAAUUCCUCUUGGCUAUCCAAGAGUUCAUCCUUCUCAUGAAUGACACCUAUCAAUUCAUUUAAUUUUUCUUUUUAUUGCAUGUUAAGAUUGGCAAAAAGUGUGAGCAAAUCAUCUUCAUCUUCACUAGAACUACACUCAUCACUAGAUGUAGUAUAUUUGGGGGUGGUUCUAGAUUGUACCUUCUUCUUUUUGUCGUCCUUUGCCAUGAGGCACUUGUGGUCGACGUUGGGGAAGAGGAGGCCCUUGUUGACGGCGAUGUUGGCAGCGUCCUCAUCGGAGGAGUUGGUGGAGCUCUCAUCGGAGUCCCAUUCCUGACACACGUGGGCAUCGCCUCCCUUCUUCUUGUAGUACCUCUUCUUUUCCUUCUUCUUCCCCCUCUUGUCGUCGCCCCUGUCACUAUCACUAGAUAUAGGACAUUUUGCAAUAAAAUGACCAAGCUUACCACAUUUGUAGCACACCCUCUUGGAGCGGGGUUUGUAGUCCUUCCCCCUCCUUUGCUUGAGGAUUUGGCGAAAGCUCUUGAUGAUGAGCGCCAUCUCCUCGUUGUCGAGCUUGGAGGCGUCGAUGGGGAGCCUACUUGAUGUAGACUCUUCUUUCUUCUCUUCCGUCGCUUUGAAUGCGACGGGUUGCACCUCGGGUGUGGAGGUGUCGCCUUGCUCCAAGUCGAUGAUGUGUUUGGAGCCUUUGAUCAUCAACUUAAAGCUCACAAACUUCCCAAUUACCUCCUCAGGAGACAUUAGAUUAUAUCUAGGAUCACCACUUAUUAAUUGAACUUGAGUGGGAUUACGAAAUACGAGGGAUCUAAGAAUAACCUUGACCAUUUCAUGGUCAUCCCAUUUUGUGCUCCCGAGGUUGCGCACUUGAUUCACCAAGGUUUUGAGCCGGUUUUACAUUGCUUGUGGCUCCUCUCCUUGGUAGAGGAUGAAUCGACCGAGCUCCCCCUCGAUCGUCUCCCGCUUGGUGAUCUUGGUCACCUCAUCUCCUUCGUGCGCGGUUUUUAGGACAUCCCAAAUCUCCUUGGCGCUUUUUAACCCUUGCACCUUAUUAUACUCCUCUCGACAUAGAGAGGCGAGGAGUAUAGUAGUGGGUUGGGAGUAAAAGUGCCAGAUUUGGGCGAACUCGUCUGAGUCGUAGCCCUCGUCUCCCACCGUGGGUACUUGCGCUCCAAACUCAACAAUGUCCUAUAUGCUUGCGUGGAGUGAGGUUAGGUGAUGCCUCAUUUUAUCACUCCACAUGCAAUAAUCCUCACCAUCAAAAUAUGGUGGUUUGCCUAAUGGAAUGGAAGGUAAAGGAGCGCGUUUAGAAAUGCGGGAAUAACGAAGUGGCAUCUUACUAUACUUCUUGCGCUCAUGGCACUUCGAAGUGACGGACGCCGCGUCGGAGCCGGAUGUGGAGGGCGACAAAGAGUUAGUCUCAUAGUAGACCACUUUCUUCAUCUUCUUCUUGUAGCCACUCUGAUGCGACUUGACGCGGGGAGGGGAUUCCUCCUUGCCUUUGGCGCCAGACUCCCUUGAUGGAGCCUUCCCGUGGCUUGUGGCCUUCUCGCCGGUUUCCAUCUCCCUCUUGGUAGAUCCUCCCGACAUCACUUCAAGUGGUUAGACUCUAAUGAAGUACCGGGUUCUAAUACCAAUUGAAAGUCGCCUAGAGGGGGUGGAUAGGCGGAAUCUGAAAAUUAUAAACUUAAGCACACACUACAAGUCGGGGUUAGCGUUAGAAUGAAUAUUAAGUCUGGGAGAGAAGGGAAAACAAAUCAACCAAGAAAUAAUGCGGAUGAACACGGUGAUUUGUUUUACCGAGGUUCGGUUCUAAAGAACCUAGUCUCCGUUGAGGUGGUCACAAAGACCGGGUCUCUUUCAACCCUUUCCCUCUCUCAAAGGUCACUUAGACCGAAUGAGCUUUCUUCCUUGAUUUCUUGGGUCACUUAGACCCCGCAAGGAUCACCACACGAUUGGUGUCUCUUGCUUUGCUUACAAGGCUUUAAGAAUAAGAAUGAGAGAAAGAAGAAAGCCAACCAAGCAACAAGAGCAACAAAGAAACACAAGAACGAUCCUCUCACAAGUCCUAAAGCACUAGAAUUGAAUUGGAGACUUUGAUUGGAUCGGUGGCUUUGAUUUGUGUCUUGGAGUGUUGCACUUUGCUCUUGUAUUGAAUGAAGUGUGAUGAAUGCUUGGAUUGUUGUAGUGGAGGUGGUUGAGGGGUAUUUAUAGCCCUCAACCACCAAACAACCGUUGGGGUUGGGCUGCUGUCAAUGGGCGCACCGGACAGUCCGGUGCGCCAGCCACGUCACCCAACCGUUAGGGUUCGGGCGCAGUCGACCGUUGGAGCUUUGUCUUCUUGUGGCAUCGGACAGUCCGGUGCCGCACUGGACAGGCACUGUUCACUGUCUGGUGCGCCUCUAGCGACUGCUCUGACUUCUGUGUGCACUGUUCUUCACUGUUCAUGGAGUCAGCAGCUUUUGCAGUCGACCGUUGCGCGAAGGAGUCGUUGCUCCGCUAUUGCACCGGACAGUCCGGUGGCACACCAGACAGUCUGAUGAAUUAUAGCGGAGCACGCCCAGAGAAACCCGAGGGUGGCGAGUUUGGAGUUGUACGGUCCUGGUGCACCGGACACUGUCCGGUGGCACACCGGACAGUCCGGUGCGCCAGACCAGGGCACACUCGGUUUCUUGCUCCUUUUGAAUUUGAACCCCUUUCUUCAAACUUUUAUUGGUUUGUGUUGAACCUUUAUGCACCUGUAUAUCAUAUACUCUAGAGCAAACUAGUUAGUCCAAUAUUUGUGUUGAGCAUUCAACCACCAAAAUUAUUUAUAGGAAAAGGUUAAACCCUAUUUCCCUUUCAACUUCUGUCUUGCUCAUGGUGGAAAGAUCACUUACUUCGAUUGGCAUCGACGCUGGUUGCCCAGGAAACACCCCUUUAGGAGCGAUAAGAAAAACUUUAUAAAGAACACCAUGGUCACCAAAGGACCGCCUAAACGUUUGAACGCAACGAAAAUAUAUGCUCAGUUGAACAACCUUUUCCUAAAUGAAAAAGGGGACAAAGACCAAGGAUUCGGAGUGUACCACUACUGGACAAUAUAUGUGGUCUGUGGGAGCUCCCUUAUAUGUCGUCAUUGAUUCUUGUGCACAACAUUAAUAUCAUGCACCAAGAAAGUAAUAUUUUUGAAGCAUCAUACACAUCUGCAUGCAUUUUGAAAAAACGAAGGACAAUAUGAAAGCUUGAAGAGAUCUAGCAAUGCUUUGUGGCCGACCAACCCAAGUGCUCAAUGACAACGGCAAGCCACCACGUGCCUUGUUCUGUCUUACCUCUAAGGACAAGAUCGAGGUAAUGAGAUGUAUGAAAAAAAUAAAUUUCCCGAUGGUUAUGCUGCGAGCUUGAAAGGAGCUAUGAAUUUGAAAACGAGAAAACUAACUGGGUUAAAGAGCCAUGACUUCCAUAUAUUAAUGGAGAGGAUUAUCCCUGUCAUGUUUUGUGGUUACAUGCCCGAUGCCAUAUGGCAAGCAAUUGCUGAGCUAAGAGUUCUACAGGCAGAUCUGUGCUAAAGAAAUAAGUAAAAAUAUGAUGGAGAAGUUGGAGAAAGAAAUAUCAGUGUUGCUAUGCAAGCUAGAAAAAGUAUUCCCACCUGGAUUCUUCAAUCCGAUGGGGCAUCUACUUAUUCACUUUCCAUAUGAGGCAAAGGUUGGUGGACCUGUACAAUAUAGGUGGAUGUAUCACAUUGAACGUGCACUCAAAAACCUGCGAGCCAUGGUUCAAAAUAAGGCUAGAGUAGAAGCAUGCAUCGCUGGAGCUGUUUUGCUAAAGGAGGUUUCAUACUUCACAAGUGUGUAUUUCGUAGAUGAACAAAAUGUCUAUGCUGCUAUGAUGCGAUACAAUGUCAAUGAGGAACCUCCUGUCAGUGACCUUAAAAUUUUCCAACGGAGAGGCACAAGUACUAGUAAGGGCACGUUCUACCACCUUAGCAUGGAUGAAAGAAUGCCUGCAUUGCUAUACAUGUACUCGAAUAUGGAAGAGAUGGCGCCAUAUUUCAUGUAAGUCUUUAUUUUGCCCCAUAAUUUAUUUGCCAUGGAGCCAUAUUUAAUUACUUAUUUGUUGUACAGUAAGUUCGACGAGGAAAAUUGGACUUAUUCCCAUCAGCCUACAAGCAAACAACUAGAUACGAUGCGAUGGCAUGGGAGGCAAGGAAGACCUAAUUUUGUUGACUGGUUUCGGGAGCAUGUAAACUCUUUAUAUUCCUUACUUUGAUGUCAUUUAGCCUUUUAUAAGAGGUAGUCAUUUUAGCUCUAUAUUAUUUGCAGUGCACAAAGAUUCCUAACAUACACGAGGACUUGAGACAACUAUCUUAUGGGACGGUGACUUGCAGAACCUUUGGUCGAUACGAUGUGAAUGGCUUCCGUUUUCGUUCAGAUCAAUUUGAAAUGCCUCGUCCUCGUGCAACCACACAUAACACUGGAGUUGUGACUAGGGCAUUCGAUGCACUCCGAAGAGAAACUAAUUAUUAUGGCAUCAUUCAAAACAUCCUAGAGUUUAUUUUUGUAGGGAACAAAACUUUGAAAGUAGUAUUCUUUCUAUGUGAUUGGUUUGACAACAAUAAUGGGAUUAGACAAAGUCAAUAUGGCAUAACUGAAGUAAAGCACAAGGAACGACUUCGAGGCCAUGAUAAUUUUAUCCUUGCACACCAGUGCGAGCAAGUCUACUAUAUGUCGUACCCAAAUCCGAAGUUUAAAGCAUGGUGAGUAGUUCACAAGGUGAACCCUAGGGAACGUUUACAUACUCCUUGCACUGUUGGUUAUCAAUUCGAAGACGAACAGGUCGAUGAGGUUUAUCAAGAAGAAGAAUUGCCAGCCACUUUUAUUGUCGAUGAGGGUGUUGCACUCAACUCACUAGUCGGAGACUGUAACAAUAUCACUGUUGAUGAGUGUGUUGCACUGAAACGAAAACGAAAUCCAAGGAACAAAAAACCACAUUGCGAGCUUUGGAUCGAAGAAGACUCCUUGAUCAUGAUUCCGAUGAAUUUUGAUGUGUAAUGCAUAUUUUAACUUUAUGUGAUGUAUUAUUUGUUUUUUAUUAAUUAUAUUUAAUUUUGUGGAGUUAAUACAUUUAAUGUUUUUCUAUUGAACAGGAUGAGUGGUUGGAAAACAAAGCACACUGUGAGGGGGUUUCUUAAUGCGGCUAGCAGGAUAGUCCCUAGUGCACGUUCCCUUUGCAAGGGAGUUCUUCUAGCCAGAGCAGACAGGAGGCGUUGUUGAGACACACCCGGCCAAAACUGCGUGAUGACCUAUCGCUCUACAAAGGAGUACCGAUUUAAAUGUUUAUGUAAUUGAUCUUAUUUGUCAUUCACUUAUAUAUAAAUGUGUCUUACAUGUCUCUAUUUCAUGUCCAUGGGAAGAGGAGGACGAGGAGGAGGAGGUGCAACACCAUGAGGAAGAGGUUGCAGCCAUAGAUGUCGG
rnacentral:lncRNA from 1 species